rnacentral:rRNA from 1 species
ACUGCUCAGUAACACGUGGAUAACCUGCCCUUGGGUCCGGCAUAACCCCGGGAAACUGGGGAUAAUUCCGGAUACCGCAUAUGUGCUGGAAUGCUUUAUGCGUAAAAUGGAUUCGUCUGCCCAAGGAUGGGUCUGCGGCCUAUCAGGUAGUAGUGGGUGUAAUGUACCUACUAGCCGACAACGGGUACGGGUUGUGAGAGCAAGAGCCCGGAGAUGGAUUCUGAGACAUGAAUCCAGGCCCUACGGGGCGCAGCAGGCGCGAAAACUUUACAAUGCGGGAAACCGUGAUAAGGGGACACCGAGUGUCAGCGUCAUACGCUGGCUGUCCAGGUGUGUAAAAUACACCUGUUAGCAAGGGCCGGGCAAGACCGGUGCCAGCCGCCGCGGUAACACCGGCGGCCCGAGUGGUGAUCGUGAUUAUUGGGUCUAAAGGGUCCGUAGCCGGUUUGGUCAGUCCUCCGGGAAAUCUGAUAGCUCAACUAUUAGGCUAUCGGGGGAUACUACCAGACUUGGAACCGGGAGAGGUAAGAGGUACUACAGGGGUAGGAGUGAAAUCUUGUAAUCCCUGUGGGACCACCUGUGGCGAAGGCGUCUUACCAGAACGGGUUCGACGGUGAGGGACGAAAGCUGGGGGCACGAACCGGAUUAGAUACCCGGGUAGUCCCAGCCGUAAACGAUGCUCGCUAGGUGUCAGGCAUGGCGCGACCGUGUCUGGUGCCGCAGGGAAGCCGUGAAGCGAGCCACCUGGGAAGUACGGCCGCAAGGCUGAAACUUAAAGGAAUUGGCGGGGGAGCAC